UUGCAAUGAUGUUUGAAUUUCUUCACCUGAAAAAUACCCAUGAAGAGCAAAAUGAUACGAGCUUUUUAACCCUGAGCAGU